rnacentral:lncRNA from 1 species
AUAAAGAAACGCACGAUACGUGCGUCUGGCCAUCAGAUCGAUUCUUUGUAUUGUGCUGGUUACGUGAGAUAGCUAGAUCGAUUGGAACGCUUCCGGCUAGAAGUGCUCAUACGUACUAGUACUAGUAGAUCAGACAAAGGAUUGAUUACUAGCUGAAGGCUAGCUUUGCUACGGUGCGCCUCAGCGUAAAAGCAACUCGUCGAGCUCGUCAGUGAGCUUUGUCUGUCGUCGUCGUUGCCUGUCGCUGGAAGUACUCGGCGUCGGGACUGGGCCAACAAUUGGUAUCAGAGCAAGGUUGAUCUUCUAGUAACGGAAGAUCAUGUCGGACGACGAGAAGGACAAGACCAAGCAGCUGGUGGAGUACUCCGGUGCAGCUAAAGUAAUUGCUGCUCCGGCGAGUUCGUCGUAUCCACGGUUUGAUCGUGAGAACUUCGGGGUCUGGAAGGCCCUCAUGGAGUGUGGUCUCCGCGCCAACGAGCUAUGGGACGCGGUGGAUCCCGGAGGCGACGCGUUCAAGAAGGAGGGAGCCGAGCACCGGAAGGAUCGGCAGGCGGCGUCAGCGAUUUACUCGGUGAUGCCGAUGGAUGUCCUCCAGCACCUAAUCGCCAAAGCAACGGCGAAGGAGGUGUGGGAUACGUUGAAACUCAUGUUCGAGGGACACACCCGUGUCAAGCAAGCCAAUCUUCAAACUCUCCUAAGGAACUACGAGACUUUGGUCAUGGGCGAUGAUGAGUCCGUGGAUGUGUUUGCUUCACGGGUGGCUACUCUCGUCAAUCGGAUUCGAGCGCUUGGAGAGAACCUCACGGAGGCCUCGGUUGUCCGGCGGUUCUUGCGCGCGGCCCCUCCCCGGUACCUGCAAAUUGUCACGGCGAUCGAGCAGUGCGUCGAUCUCGCGACUCUCUCCAUCGACGAUCUUGUCGGACGGUACAAGGCUCACGAUGAGCGUAUGCGGUACAGUCUUGGGGACGGGAAGAACGACGAGCUUGUGAUGCUCACAAAGGCGCAGUGGAUCGCCCUGGAAAAGCGAGGCAGAUCCAUAAGCAGUAGCAAGAAGAAGGGGAAGCAGCGUUCGACGAGAAAGAACUUCGCCGACUCGGACGACGACUCAGAUGAUGAGGCUGCACCUGCACCACCAAGGAGAAAGUUUGACAUCAGGAAAGUGAGGUGUUAUAACUGUGGCCUCCUUGGUCACUUCAAGGCUGACUGCGAGGAAGCACCGAAGCAGAAGGCGCUCAUUGCCCAGCAAGGAGAUGAUGGUGACAUGAUGUUGAUGUGUAAACUGGUGGACGAGGAGGAUCCAGACUCUCAAGCAUUGACUAAAAAUUUUGUCGAGCUUGCGGAAGAAAAAUUUUGUCAUCAUGAUCGUGGGUGGAAACCUGUGUCGAAGCUACAGAUGCGGGGAGUGAUUCCGAAACUUAUGUCAGUGCUAUAGACGUAAGUGCUAUCUUUGCUGGAGCGAAAGAAGCGAUAGCUGCGUGUGCUCGGCCAUGGAGAAGCAGUCUUCAUGCAUUGCACCCAGAGAAAACAAAGGCGUACGUGGCGCCCGAAGUCCAUGAUGAAACAACAUACGUAAGUGCAACUGAUGUUGAUGCUGAUGCAAAGACGGACACGGAUGCAACUCAGGCGUACGUGGCAUCAAAAGUUCACGAAGGGAGGCGUACUGGAGUUGUGUCGCUGAGCAGAACAGGCAAGCUAGGUGGUGGCGCAGCUUGUUCUGGUGAAGUGAGUGCUGCGAGCGCUCGACCAGGACGUUCUGGAUGCAGCUGCUACACCGUCGCAGCAGACGGGCCGAAAGGAGACGGCCUACCCAGCCAACCGAGCAACUCAGAAGUGGACACACGGCCUAGUGGCCAGGCCGGCUCACAAGUAGUGUGUGAGUCAUGGAAAGAGGCAACAGCAACUGGUGGACGCUGCCCAUGUGCUGGUGAUGCGUAUGCAUCAGGAGCCCAGCCGGCUGCAUGCUUGUACGCAUGGGAGGAUGCCCUGUUGGCACCUGCAUCACCUCCGAAAGCACUGGAGGAAAGGACAACGUCACCUACAUCGAUAAAUCCACAGCCGGUGUUACACCCAUAUCCGAAGAAUACUCUUCGGACGAUUGACCCGGUAAAGGUGAAAAGAAGUGGGCGACGGUGUCUAGCAAGCGCCGAGGAACUGGCGAAAUUUGAGGACGCAAAUACAGAUGAGUGUUGGCGUCAUGCUAUGAAAGAAGAGUUGGGGUCGAUCCACGACAAUAAUGCAUGGGUGCUUGUGGAUCUUCCCAACAAUGAAAAAGUCAUGGAUCUCAAGUGGGAAUUUACGAUCAAGAGAGAUGCCGAUGGGUCCGUGAAGCACAAAGCGAGGCUAGUAGCCAAAGAGUACGUGCAAGAGGAAGGUGCGGACUUCGAAGAAGUGUUCGUUCCCGUUGCAAAGGUGAAAUCGGUGGAAUUACUCAUCGCUCUCGCGGUUCAGGAAUCAUGGAAGAUACAUCACAUGGAUGUAAAACCCGCGUUUUUGAAUGGCGAAUUAGAAGGAGAUGUGUAUGUGAAUCAGCCACCGGGAUUCAUCAAAGAGGGAGAGGAACACAAGGUACUGAAGCUACACAAAGUCUUGUACGGGCUACGACAAGGCUCUCGGACGUGGAACAUCAAACUUGAUCAGACAUUAAUUUCUCUUGGAUUUGAGAAAGCCCCACUAGAGCAUGCGAUGUACAAGAGAGGUGAAGGAAGGGAUCGUCUACUAGUUGGCAUCUACGUCGACGACCUAUUGAUAACGGGAGCAGAUGAAGAGGUGAUUGCAAAGUUCAAGCUACAGAUGAAAGAGCUUUUCAAGAUGGAUGAUCUAGGUCUUUUGAGCUACUACCCCGGGAUAGAGGUACAUCAAAAGACGGAGGGGAUCACAUUAUGCCAGGAGGCAUAUGCAAGGAAGGUACUUGAAAGCCGUGGCAUGAAAGAUUGCAAUCGCAUUGUCGCUCCAAUGGAACCUCGUCUUGAGCUGAGCAAGAAGAGCAAAGUAUCCGUAGUUGAUGCAAUAGAGUAUAUUGCAGCGGCCGCUGCGGCGUGUCAAUGUGUGUGGCUAGGGAAGCUACACGGUGAUCUCAUGGAUCGAGAUCCGGAACCAGCGGUGCUCAAUGUUGACGGCGAGUCUAUAACUUUUCUACGCGAGGAUCCAGUGCGGCAUGAAAGGAGCAAGCACAUUGAUACGGUAUAUCACUACAUAAAGAACUGCGUGGAAGAAGGUAAGAUGAAGGUCAACUACGUUUGCACCGAUGAUCAACGAGCGGAUAUGCUAACCAAGACUUUGGACCGGCAGAAGUUCUUGGAGAUGCGAAGAAGAAUCGGCGUCGGAGCUGUGACGUGACGACGUCGUGUUUAGGGGGUGAUUGUUGGAGUUAAACCCGACGUAGUCGCCGUAUCCGGAUCGUAUACGGAACAAUCGCCUAGAUGUACACGUGCAUGUAUGUGAGCCCGAGUAGGACUAGUGUUAGAUACCGAUUCGGUUUGCUAGUACUAGCUAGGCUGAUAUAUAUAUGUACGUAUACCCCCUGUAAACUUGUACCGAGUUGAAGCAAUAAAGAAACGCACGAUACGUGCGUCUGGCCAUCAGAUCGAUUCUUUGUAUUGUGCUGGUUACGUGAGAUAGCUAGAUCGAUUGGAACGCUUCCGGCUAGAAGUGCUCAUACGUACUAGUACUAGUAGAUCAGACAAAGGAUUGAUUACUAGCUGAAGGCUAGCUUUGCUACGGUGCGCCUCAGCGUAAAAGCAACUCGUCGAGCUCGUCAGUGAGCUUUGUCUGUCGUCGUCGUUGCCUGUCGCUGGAAGUACUCGGCGUCGGGACUGGGCCAACAGAGCUCACGCACCUCAUUCAUCCACACCUUGUCUUGCACAUCAGGAUCCUCCUCCUCUGACAUCUUGAGAAGAAAUGCAUCCAUGGCAGUGAGUUCACGAGUGAGCGACUUGAUAUCAUCACGCACACCCUUAAACCGCUUGUACUCAUCGCCUGCGAGAGCGCCCAGCUUUGCCAGAACGGGUUUCAAGGCUCCCGUCGCUGCACUCACCAGAGCCGCCUCCAUGGUUGCCAGUG